CUGAAAUCAGGUGGGACUACCCGCUGAACUUAAGCAUAUCA
rnacentral:rRNA from 1 species